rnacentral:tRNA from 1 species
CUGGAUAUGGUUCAACAGUUAAGAGCACUGGUUGUUCUUCCAGAGGUCCUGGGUUCAAAUCCCAGCACCCAUA